rnacentral:rRNA from 1 species
GAUGAACGCUGGCGGCGUGCCUAAUACAUGCAAGUCGAGCGAACAGACGAGGAGCUUGCUCCUUUGACGUUAGCGGCGGACGGGUGAGUAACACGUGGGUAACCUACCUAUAAGACUGGGAUAACUUCGGGAAACCGGAGCUAAUACCGGAUAAUAUUUCGAACCGCAUGGUUCGAUAGUGAAAGAUGGCUUUGCUAUCACUUAUAGAUGGACCCGCGCCGUAUUAGCUAGUUGGUAAGGUAACGGCUUACCAAGGCAACGAUACAUAGCCGACCUGAGAGGGUGAUCGGCCACACUGGAACUGAGACACGGUCCAGACUCCUACGGGAGGCAGCAGUAGGGAAUCUUCCGCAAUGGGCGAAAGCCUGACGGAGCAACGCCGCGUGAGUGAUGAAGGUCUUCGGAUCGUAAAACUCUGUUAUUAGGGAAGAACAAAUGUGUAAGUAACUGUGCACGUCUUGACGGUACCUAAUCAGAAAGCCACGGCUAACUACGUG